rnacentral:lncRNA from 1 species
AUGCCCCAACGGCGAGGCCACCCAUCAGAUAGACGAGAUCCAAGCCGGCGGGCUGCCGGCACCAAGGAGCAGAACAGACGUGGAGACGUGGUCAGCGCCGGACCACCAGGAACUGAUGCAGAUGCGGUCACCGCCGGACCACCAGGAACCGAUGCAGAUGCGGUCAGCGCCGGACCGCCAGGAACCGAUGCAGGUGCGGCCGGAGCCGAGCCGCCAGGAACCGAUGCAGGUGCGGCCGGAGCCGAGCCGCCAGAAACCGCAGCGGGAGCUGCGACAGGAACGACCCCCUCCUGGAGGUCGACAGAAACUGCAGCGGAAGCUGCGACAGGAACAACCUCCUCCUGGAGGUCGGCAGGAACUGCGGCAGGCGCGACCUCUUCCUGGAGGCCGUCAGAAACUGCGGCAGGAACCGCAGCCGGCGCCGCCUCCUCCUGGAGGUCGGCGGGAGCUGCGGCAGGAACCGCAGCCGGCGCCGCCUCCUCCUGGAGGUCGGCGGGAGCUGCUCCUCCGAGGAUGACAGGGACACGAACGGCAUCCUUGCGGGAGCCGGACGGAACGGGGACUAGAACGACCUCUACCGGGCCGACAGGAACUGGAACUGGAACGGCCUCUACAUGGCCGACAGGAACAGGAACGACCGCUACGGGGCCGACAGGAACGGGAACUGGAACGGCCUCUACAUGGCCGACAGGAACGGCCUCAACAUGGCCGACAGGGACAGGAACGGGCUCAACUUGGCCGAUAGGAACAGGAACGGCCUCAACUUGGCCGACAGGAACAGGAACGGCCUCAACUUGGCCGACAGGAACAGGAACGGCGUCCUUACUGGAGCCGACAGGAACAGGAACGGCGUCCUUACUGGAGCCGACAGGGACUAGAACGGCGUCCUUACUGGAGCCGACAGGGACUAGAACGGCGUCCUUACUGGAGCCGACAGGGACUAGAACGGCGUCCUUACUGGAGCCGACAGGGACAGGAACGACCCCUAACGGGCGGACAGGGACAGGAACGACCCCUAACGGGCCGACAGGAACAGGAACGACCCCUAACGGGCCGACAGGAACAGGAACGACCCCUAACGGGCCGACAGGAACAGGGACGACCCCUAACGGGCCGACAGGAACUGGGGCGGCGUCCUCUCCGGGGGCCGGCAUGACUGCUUGCAGCUGCCGAGCUCGACGGAGUAAACGUCGGACCUGA